CCUCCAGUAGCUAGGUGGUAGAGCGGUCGGCCGUUAACUGAUUGGUCUUAGGUUUGAAUCCUACUUGGGGGA